rnacentral:rRNA from 1 species
AUUCUACGGGAGGCAGCAGUGAGGAAUAUUGCGCAAUGGGCGAAAGCCUGACGCAGCAACGCCGCGUGGAGGACGAAGGCCUUCGGGUCGUAAACUCCUUUUCCGGGGAACGAGGAAGGACGGUACCCCGGGAAUAAGUCUCGGCUAACUACGUGCCAGCAGCCGCGGUAAUAAU